rnacentral:rRNA from 1 species
AUUGAACGCUGGCGGCAUGCCUUACACAUGCAAGUCGAACGGCAGCACGGACUUCGGUCUGGUGGCGAGUGGCGAACGGGUGAGUAAUGUAUCGGAACGUACCUUUCAGUGGGGGAUAACGUAGCGAAAGUUACGCUAAUACCGCAUAUUCUGUGAGCAGGAAAGAGGGGGAUCGCAAGACCUCUUGCUUUAGGAGCGGCCGAUGUCGGAUUAGCUAGUUGGUGAGGUAAAGGCUCACCAAGGCGACGAUCCGUAGCGGGUCUGAGAGGAUGAUCCGCCACACUGGGACUGAGACACGGCCCAGACUCCUACGGAGGCAGCAGUGGGGAAUUUUGGACAAUGGGCGCAAGCCUGAUCCAGCCAUGCCGCGUGAGUGAAGAAGGCCUCGG